AAGGUAGGUUUUGCCCUAUGAUUUAUUUUAAAUGGCUGCAGUAUAUUGACUGUGCAAAGGUAGCAUAAUAAGUAGUUUCUUAAUUGGGGACUGGUAUGAAUGGAUUAAUGAGGGAUUAUUUUUAUUAUUUAAAUUUUUUGAAUUUAAUUUUUAGGUCAAAAAGCUUAAUUAUUUAUUUGGGACGAUAAGACCCUAUAGAACUUUUUAAAUAAAAUCAAAUUUGUAUUUUGGUAAAUAUUUUAUUUUUAUGACUUUUUUAUUUCAUUGGGGCGGUGGUUAAAUUUAAACUUUAUUUUUAUUUUUCAUUUUAAUUGUAUUUUUGAUCUCUAUUAAGGAUUUUAAGAUUAAGUUACCUUAGGGAUAACAGCGUAAUUUUAAUGGGGAGUUCAUAUUUAUAUUAAAGUUUGCGACCUCGAUGUUGAAUUAAGAUUAGGUUAAGGGGCAGGUUCUUUAAUUUUUAGUCUGUUCGACUAUUAAAUUCUUACAUGAUUUG
rnacentral:rRNA from 1 species